rnacentral:rRNA from 1 species
UACGUAGGGUGCAAGCGUUGUCCGGAAUUAUUGGGCGUAAAGAGCGUGUAGGCGGCCAAGCAGGUCCGCUGUGAAAACUCGAGGCUCAACCUCGAGACGUCGGUGGAAACCGUUUGGCUAGAGUCCGGAAGAGGAGAGUGGAAUUCCCGGUGUAGCGGUGAAAUGCGCAGAUAUCGGGAAGAACACCCGUGGCGAAGGCGGCUCUCUGGGACAACACUGACGCUGAAGCACGAAAGCGUGGGGAGCAAACAGG